UACGAAGGGGGCUAGCGUUGUUCGGAAUUACUGGGCGUAAAGGGCGUGUAGGCGGCCCGUAAAGUCAGGUGUGAAAUUCCUGGGCUCAACCCAGGACGUGCGCCUGAUACUGGCGGGCUUGAGUCCGGGAGAGGAUGGUGGAACUCCCAGUGUAGAGGUGAAAUUCGUAGAUAUUGGGAAGAACACCCGUGGCGAAGGCGGCCAUCUGGACCGGUACUGACGCUAAGGCGCGACAGCGUGGGGAGCAAACAGG
rnacentral:rRNA from 1 species